rnacentral:rRNA from 1 species
UAGAGGAAGUAAAAGUCGUAACAAGGUUUCCGUAGGUGAACCUGCGGAAGGAUCAUUACAGAGCUCAUGCCCUUCGGGGUAGACCUCCCACCCUUUGUAUACCGUGCCUUUGUUGCUUUGGCGGGCCGCCUCCUGGCCACCGGCCUCGGCUGGUGCGCGCCCGCCGGAGAACCCCCAACCCUGUUUUACAGUGUCGUCCGAGUACUAUAUAAUAGUUAAAACUUUCAACAACGGAUCUCUUGGUUCUGGCAUCGAUGAAGAACGCAGCGAAAUGCGAUAAUUAAUGUGAAUUGCAGAAUUUAGUGAAUCAUCGAAUCUUUGAACGCACAUUGCGCCCCUUGGUAUUCCGGGGGGCAUGCCUGUUCGAGCGUCAUUUCAACCCUCAAGCACCGCUUGGUCUUGGGCCGCGCCGGCACCGGCGGGCCUCAAAAACAGUGGCGGCGCCACCGCGUCCCUCAGCGUAGUAACUUUUCUCGCUGCUGGGUCCGGUGGCCGCUGGCCAGCAACCCCAAUUCUUCAAUGGUUGACCUCGGAUCAGGUAGGGAUACCCGCUGAACUUAAGCAUAUCAA